CUCACCGGACCGAUUUGUGACACCCCCACCGACCUGAGAUCCGCCUCUGCAGGCGCACACAAGGAGCUCUUCUCCACGAUGCCAGUGGCCAGCGCACAGGGUCUCUGCUCGACCGUAUCCCGGCAAGCAAGCAGGACCUCCAUGGAUGAGGACGACCACCGGUACCUACACAAUGAUGUCGACGCCCCACACAUGGCCGAGCUGGACGGAACAACGAUGCCUUGGUCGCUCGCCGUGGUCACGGGUGGCCUCCUCCGUUGCUCCCCAUUUGAUCUGGCGCUUGCAUGGUA